rnacentral:rRNA from 1 species
UACGGAGGGGGCUAGCGUUGUUCGGAAUUACUGGGCGUAAAGCGCGUGUAGGCUGCUCUGCAAGUCGGAUGUGAAAGCCCUGGGCUCAACCUAGGAAGUGCACUCGAAACUGCAGAGCUUGAGUCCUGGAGAGGAAGGCGGAAUUCUCGGUGUAGAGGUGAAAUUCGUAGAUAUCGAGAGGAACACCGGUGGCGAAGGCGGCCUUCUGGACAGUGACUGACGCUGAGGUGCGAAAGCGUGGGGAGCAAACAGG